rnacentral:rRNA from 1 species
UACGUAGGGCGCAAGCGUUGUCCGGAAUUAUUGGGCGUAAAGAGCUCGUAGGCGGCCUGUUACGUCUGCUGUGAAAUCCCGGGGCUUAACCCCGGGCGUGCAGUGGAUACGGGCAGGCUGGAGGCAGGCAGGGGAGAACGGAAUUCCCGGUGUAGCGGUGAAAUGCGCAGAUAUCGGGAGGAACACCGGUGGCGAAGGCGAGGUCUCUGGGCUGACACUGACGCUCAUGCACGAAAGCGUGGGGAGCAAACAGG